CCCGUUGCGUGAUUGUGCGGGCGGGUCGCUUAGUAGUCUAAUUCCUCGAUCUCUACGCCUCUUGAUGUGAAUUAGUGACCAUUGAACCGGCUCUAAUUCAUGCCAAGUGAGUCCCUACGGCCCUUGAACCGGAGUAGGAAUACCAUGAAAGGGAAUUUCGGUCCUUGAGCCUUGAACCGCCUUGGAUACGACUACCGCCAAACUAGGAAAUAUGCAUCUAUAUUAGAUUAGCUUCCGACACAUGAAAUUUGGUAAAGGAACCUCCCUAGCACCCGAC
rnacentral:lncRNA from 1 species